ACUAGUGAUUGAAACUGCGAAUGGCUCACUAAAACAGUUAUAAUUUAUUUGAUGAUUUUUUUACAUGGAUAACCAUGGGAAACUAUGGCUAAUACAUGCAUAAGCCUCACGGCUGUAUUUAUUAGUCUUAAACCAAUACGCAAGUAUUGAGAGGAAUCAUAAUAACUGAUCGAAGCGCAGUCAAAUGCGCUACAUCAUAUAAGUUUCUGCCCUAUCAGCCAGAUGGUAGUGUAUUGGACUACCAUAGCGGUAACGGGUAGCGGGGAAUUAGGGUUCGAUUCCGGAGAGGGAGCCUGAGAAACGGCUACCAUUUCUACGGAAGGCAGCAGGCGCGUAAAUUGCCCAAUCCUAACUCAGGGAGGCAAUUAAUAGACAUAACAAUUCCGGCCUUUUGGCUUUGGAAAGGUAAUGAGCUAAGUUUAAGUAUCUUGGCGAAAUCUAUUGGAGGGCAAGUCUGGUGCCAGCAGCCGCGGUAAUUCCAGCUCCAAUAGCGUAUGUUAAUUUUGCUGCAAUUAAAAAGCUCGUAGUUGAACUUCCGGUACACGCAAGUGUGCCUGUCUGACACGACUAUCGAUACAGAAAUGUUUUGGUAACUCGCACAGACGUUUACUGUGAACAAAUUAGAGUGCUUAAGACAAGCGUUUGCUUGAAUAUUUUAGCAUGGAAUAAUAAAAUACGACUUUCUUUAUUUUAUUGGUUAUUU
rnacentral:rRNA from 1 species